rfam:Capsicum annuum cultivar Zunla-1 chromosome 12, whole genome shotgun sequence
UGAUAUUGAUGAGGACAAUUUCUGAUCAUACCUUUAAAUCUCUCCCAAUCUUGGUAGAGAUUUUCUCUAUCUUUCUGUCUAAAAUGAUCUCAAUCCUCAAUUG